rnacentral:rRNA from 1 species
CCUACGGGGUGCAGCAGUGGGGAAUAUUGGACAAUGGGCGAAAGCCUGAUCCAGCCAUGCCGCGUGUGUGAAGAAGGCCUUCGGGUUGUAAAGCACUUUCAGUGGGGAAGAAAGCCUUGGGGCUAAUACCCUCGAGGAAGGACAUCACCCACAGAAGAAGCACCGGCUAACUCCGUGCCAGCAGCCGCGGUAAUACGGAGGGUGCGAGCGUUAAUCGGAAUUACUGGGCGUAAAGCGCGCGUAGGCGGUCUGAUAAGCCGGUUGUGAAAGCCCCGGGCUCAACCUGGGAACGGCAUCCGGAACUGUCAGGCUAGAGUGCAGGAGAGGAAGGUAGAAUUCCCGGUGUAGCGGUGAAAUGCGUAGAGAGCGGGAGGAAUACCAGUGGCGAAGGCGGCCUUCUGGACUGACACUGACGCUGAGGUGCGAAAGCGUGGGUAGCAAACAGGAUUAGAUACCCCAGUAGUC